rnacentral:rRNA from 1 species
GUUGCCACCACGAGAGGUGGGGACGUCAGGCGGGACCGCCGGUGACAAACCGGAGGAAGGUGGGGACGACGUCAAGUCAUCAUGGCCCUUAUGUCCUGGGCUACGCACGUGCUACAAUGGCCGGUACAGAGCGCAGCGAGGCCGCGAGGCGGAGCGAAUCGCUUAAAGCCGGUCCCAGUACGGAUUGGAGUCUGCAACCCGACUCCAUGAAGUUGGAAUCGCUAGUAAUCGCGCAUCAGCAUGGCGCGGUGAAUACGUUCCCGGGCCUU